rnacentral:rRNA from 1 species
AUGAACGCUGGCGGCGUGCCUAAUACCUGCCAGUCGAGCGAACAGAUGAGGAGCUUGCUCCUCUGACGUUAGCGGCGGACGGGUGAGUAACACGUGGAUAACCUACCUAUAAGACUGGGAUAACUUCGGGAAACCGGAGCUAAUACCGGAUAAUAUAUUGAACCGCAUGGUUCAAUAGUGAAAGACGGUUUUGCUGUCACUUAUAGAUGGAUCCGCGCCGCAUUAGCUAGUUGGUAAGGUAACGGCUUACCAAGGCAACGAUGCGUAGCCGACCUGAGAGGGUGAUCGGCCACACUGGAACUGAGACACGGUCCAGACUCCUACGGGAGGCAGCAGUAGGGAAUCUUCCGCAAUGGGCGAAAGCUUGACGGAGCAACGCCGCGUGAGUGAUGAAGGUCUUCGGAUCGUAAAACUCUGUUAUUAGGGAAGAACAAAUGUGUAAGUAACUAUGCACGUCUUGACGGUACCUAAUCAGAAAGCCACGGCUAACUACGUG